AUGUAGUAUUGAUUAAAUCACACGUACGGAGUAGUGCGAUAUGUUGGUUUCCCCUUUCGUCGCGGCGGCAGCGGCGGUCUUCAGGAAAGUUUUAUCACACUGGAUUCGAAUCAUUGUUACUGCUCAUUUCACUGGAUGAAAAAAUUCCUUACUAUUUUCUUGCGUAAACGGAAAGCUAAUGUUGUGCUUUCUUGAUAUAAAGUUAAAAAACCAGACCUUUAUCUUUUCUACAGCUGUUUUUAUUAUUGAAGCAUGGCUCUUAGUUAAGAUGAAGAAAGAAGCUGUUGUUGCUGAAAUUUUUUAAGCAAAAAUGAAGUGAAGAAAAAAUGAUAAUUUUGAAACCAACAAUUUUUAGAAUAAUUUAAAAUGACGCUUGGUGUUUUAAAUCUAUGUUUGUAGAGUUCUGUUUGUCGAGUUUCUUGUAGCUCGCCAGAAUAUUUGCAGGAAAAUUUUUCUUUUUCCAUUUCAGCGAAACAAACAAACAAACAAACAAAUCAAUUUCCAUUAUUAUGUGUAAUUCGUCAUGUAUUAAAGAGUUGUAGCUAAGAAUUUGUGUGUCGUAUAAUCAUAAUUUGUGCUUUUUCUAGAUGAUGUUGCAAUAACAUAUAAAGUUCAAACUUUAUGCAAGAAAAGUACGAAAAAUAUAAAAUUUAUAGGGGAACUCCCACCUCAAAAAACCUUUUUCUCAUAUCGUCAAUAAUGCUGCCUUAAGCUGAAUUCAAUAAUUAUUUUGCACAAUUCAUUAGUGUAACUUAGAAAUAUUGUAUUCUUUCUUACCAUUUUUACCAAACGUUCUGCCUUCGACAGUAUGGCGGGCUUCCUCUCCAAAACGGUCUAGUUCAGCGGAUGCGAGAAAAAUGUAAACAAAUGACGUAGAGCCGGCUAUGAAGUAAAUUGCUUAAGCGGAAUUAAACAACCCCCUGUUUUUAUAAAGGAAAUCUGUUUAUGGCGCGCCGCAGGUUCCUAUUUUUUUUUUUAUUUUAUUUUUUUUUUUCGAAUAAAAAAUUAAUUCAGAAGUAAAACAUUUACAAAAUUUUCUUGCAAUAUAACGAAAGACUUGGCAAAGUUUUGUAGAAAAAAGAAAUUUUGAGAAUGGAUGCGUCUUGUGCUGCCGCAGGCUGUCAAAACCACAUAAAAGGGAAUCUGGAGUUAUCAUUUUUCCAAAUCCUGCGUGAUAAAUCUGCAGCAAGCAUGAAAAGAACUGAUCUUCCAAAAACUAUUUAUUUAUGCGAGGAGCACUUCCAAAACAACUGCUUUGAUAAGUCCAUCGAUUUAAGAAAUCAACUAAUGAAGAUACGCAUAGUAAACAACGUUUUUUCUUUGUGUUAGUCCAGUUAUUAUCGGAGGGACUGGUAAGAAGGUUGUGAUACUGAACACAGUGUAUAUUGCGAAUGUGUGAAUUAGUGGUUCGUAUUACACGAUUUAAAAAAGCACCUCGUAAACUGGUUUAAGGGGCUGUUCUAACGAUCUUUGCACGCAAGCCUGAACAUAGCAAAAGAGUUAGUGUCGUUGAGAAGUUACAAAAAAGGAAGGUGAAAGCAUGGGGAAUUUCUGUACAUAUAUAUUUUUGGCUGCUUCUUCUUCGCUUUUUUUGUUUUCUUUUUCAUGAAAAGUACAUUCUAGGUUAUUAUAGCUGCGAUGGCGACAGCAGAAGCCGAGGAUUUAAAUUCUGAACAUGAAGAACAGAAUUUACUCCUGGAUGCCGACAAUGACGACAUCUUUUUGCGGAACUGCGUCCCUACGCAGCCAAAAGUUGCUACCACUGAAUGCAAAGGUUCACAAGUGAAUGUCAAGGCAAAUCGAGCAAAACAAAAUUUACGUUGAUUAUUUUGUUCAAAAUUGCAAACAUUCUUAUAGUUUAUUUCGCCCAAUGUAGCCAAACAUCAGGCGCAAAAAAGUUCAUGUCACUAAAGAAAACUUCGCAAAAUCAUUCUCCGUGGCAAUACAAACAGAUUUACUCGAAGAUGAUUUACCGACAGAUUAGAUUGCGAUCAUUGAUCAUUUAUGCACCAUACUUGAUAUGCCUCUGUUGAAACCAGUUAUCUUGGAUUUUAUUCACAGUACCGAGAAACAAAAGGCCAUCACCUAUGAAAAUGCACGACGUAAAUACAUCGACAACUAACCUCGACGUUUAUUUAUAAUCAACACCAACAAAACAACGAUUUAAUAAAGAAGCAGCUUCAACUACUAUGACAAAUAGCAUGAGGCACGACGAUGAAGUCUUGAAUGAUAGUUGGUUACUCACAUCCAUGAAGAGAUCGGAACGCUCAGAUCCGGACUUCAAACCUGCAAUGAAAGUCACUGUACACACGUCUGCUGACCAAUCAAAGGGUGUACGAAAUACGAAAGGGUGUUUUGGUGUACGAAUCAAAGUUAAAACAACUGCUUUCGAAGUGCUUAAAAUGUGGAAGUUUCGUUUAUGACAUAAAAGAACUAAAGAGUUUGGACAGUCAAUACAAAGUCACCGUGGAAGGUUUAAAUGGUUGUUCAACAUCCUGGUCUUCGCAGCCGGAAGUUGAUUCAAUUGUUCAGAGAAUUUAAUGGUAACUGCAGCAGCUGAGCAUGUUGGUGUACCAUUUUCAAAAUUGAGAAGAUUUGCCUACGUGUUGAACUUAAUUUUUAUUGAGAAGGCGACAUUUUACAGGCUCCGUGGUACGCUUUUUGUAAUUUUUUGGUCUUACAUCUCGAGAAAUUGAUAAUAAUGUGUGAUAAAACUAUGUUCAGGUGAUUAUGUGUUUCCUGCCAUCGAUCACGCUUGGAAAGUUCAUCAACAAAAUUUGGUUGUAGAGCUUCGAGCAGUUAAAUUAAAUAUAGGUAUUGAUGGUCAGUGUCACACGCUAGGACACAAUGCGACUUACUGCACUGUCACCGCCAUGGAUUUUACCAGCAGUGAAGUGCUCGAAGUACAAGUUGUCAAUGUAAAGGAUGACAAAAUCUCACAUUUGUUUCUUCAAUUGUAAUCAAAUAUUUUAUUCUCUCAAAGAAAAGCGAAUGAUAAUAAAUAAAAAUACUUCUUUUUUAGGAAAUCGUUCAUAUCAAAACUUAAUCUUUGAUGUAACAUAUACAUUUAUCUAUAUUACAAUUUCCAACGUCUGUCUGUCUACCUUCCUGCUUGUUCGCCUAACAUAGUCAUA